CCUACGGGUGGCAGCAGUAGGGAAUCUUUCACAAUGGGCGAAAGCCUGAUGGAGCAACGCCGCGUGCAGGAUGAAGGUCUUCGGGUUGUAAACUGCUUUUAUAAGCGAGAAAUAUGAUGGUAACUUAUGAAUAAGGAUCGGCUAACUACGUGCCAGCAGCCGCGGUCAUACGUAGGAUCCGAGCAUUAUCCGGAGUGACUGGGUGUAAAGAGUUGCGUAGGUGGCAUAAUAAGUAGCUAGUGAAAUCUGGUGGCUCAACCAUUCAGACUAUUAGCUAAACUGUUAAGCUCGAGACCGUUAGGGGUAACUGGAAUUGCUAGUGUAGGAGUGAAAUCCGUAGAUAUUAGAAGGAACACCAAUAGCGUAGGCAGGUUGCUGGGACGGUUCUGACACUAAGGCACGAAAGCGUAGGGAGCAAACGGGAUUAGAUACCCGAGUAGUC
rnacentral:rRNA from 1 species